rnacentral:lncRNA from 1 species
CACCCCAUCUAUGACUAAGACACCCUCCCACCUUCAUGCUACUGAGUGGACAAGCUUACAUGAAAUGACUGUUUUCACAUAUGUGGCACCAGGCAGCCCAGGGAUGCCGGUGAAAUCUCUGGGAGAACGGCAUGUUCCAGAGAGCCACAGCUUGCUCAGCCUGGACCCCAGAACGAAGGAGGCAUCAGAAGCUGAGCCACCCGUGGCCGACAAGAAACCUGAGUGGGAGGGGAAACUUGGUUGCUGUGAUCGACCCAGGCUUGCGAGUUGUUUUGGCAACACAGCCUAGCAAGAGCCGACCAAUAUGUCAUUGAUGAAAGAAAGUCAACAGGCGUGUAGAAGGAGCUGUCUACUGAGCAUGUCUGCACUUUUCUGAAUUAUGUUGCACUUGAGUAAAAAGUAAGCAAGCCUGUCUAUUUACUUUAAAUGAUGUGUGCCAGAUAUGUACAGUAUGCAGAGUUAAGAAGGUGCCACCCCAAAAUAGGCUGCUCUGGCAUAGUCACUAUUAGGAAUUAAAGGCAGUUAAAAC